CAAGCUUCUCGGCCUUUUGGUCUGAGAUCCUGUGUAGUAUCUGUUCUUACCAGUUUACACUUUUACUUUUGGAACCCUUGCACAUCUGGCUGAGUGUCCUGAGUGUCAGAAAAUACACACACCGUUGUGUAACCAAUUUCUGAGGGCUCCCAAGCAAUUCUCUGGGGUCUGAGGGGCCACUCCUG